ACUAAUCACACGCAACACACACACUGGCACCUAAAACACACACUACACACACCAUUUUCCAUUUAAGCUUGGACGGAGCUUUUGACUUCCGAUUUGAGCACCGAGACGAGCGCCGAUCAUCUUUUCGAUCACGUAUCUAAGUAGGUCCUUUUGGGAAGUAACGACUUGAGGGAGAGAGUGACGUUACUCAUUGAUACAGAGACACAACGAGGUUGAGCUGAUGUGAUGAUGGUGCUGCAAUGAGCGGAGUCUCCAGGGUUGUUAAUAAAUAGUUAACCUGUCUAGAAUAUGUCUUCAUACAUAUGUCUAGCUACUUUCCGCUGCAAGAUGUUGUUGAUGUUAUAGUAUGUUAUGUCAUACUUUGAGUCUUAAGAGAAUGGUUUCAUACGAUGUAUAACUUGAUUAAUGAUAUUAAUUAAGUUUUAUGCUGUCUUUCA